AUCUCUUUGCCUUUUGGCUUAGAUCAAGUGUAGUAUCUGUUCUUUUCAGUGUAACAACUGGAAUGUCCUCAAUGAGGAUGUUUAAUUCGUUACAAAUCAUAUUUUUGGAACUUUCAAGAGGGAAGAGGGUGCUUGGUCGGUGAGAUUAUGAGGACUUGUCCUUGUAGUUUUGCCGUCCUGUC
rnacentral:snRNA from 1 species